UACACUCCUACGGGAGGCAGCAGUGGGGAAUAUUGGACAAUGGGCGCAAGCCUGAUCCAGCCAUGCCGCGUGAGUGAUGAAGGCCCUAGGGUUGUAAAGCUCUUUCACCGGUGAAGAUAAUGACGGUAACCGGAGAAGAAGCCCCGGCUAACUUCGUGCCAGCAGCCGCGGUAAUACGAAGGGGGCUAGCGUUGUUCGGAUUUACUGGGCGUAAAGCGCACGUAGGCGGACUAUUAAGUCAGGGGUGAAAUCCCGGGGCUCAACCCCGGAACUGCCUUUGAUACUGGUAGUCUUGAGUUCGAGAGAGGUGAGUGGAAUUCCGAGUGUAGAGGUGAAAUUCGUAGAUAUUCGGAGGAACACCAGUGGCGAAGGCGGCUCACUGGCUCGAUACUGACGCUGAGGUGCGAAAGCGUGGGGAGCAAACAGGAUUAGAUACCCCGGUAGUCCCA
rnacentral:rRNA from 1 species